GUGCUCACUUCAGCAGCACAUAUGCUACAAAUAGAAUGAUACAGAGAAGAUUAGCAUGGUCCUUGCUCACGGGUGACAUGCAAAUUCAUGAAGCAUUCCAAAUUUUU